GAUUGAGGGCAGUGGUGAUCCUUCAGACUCAGUCAUCAAGAAAAGGCAGAAAAUGGGGCGGUUCUUCUAUCUCAUAUCAUUAGGAACUUUUUUGAUCAUACAAAGUCAUUCUUCUGAAAACUGGCUUGAACUUAUACGUGGAAGCAUGCCUAUAUAUAAAUUCCGAAAGAUUAUUUUCAGAUUAUCACCUUUGAUCUCCCGCACUCCAAGCUUUUGCUUCUAUGGUAAGACAAUCCAUCACUUAGUUGCUCUGAGGAAAAGGGCAAGAUAGUUGUAUGCUUGCCAACUGUGCAAGGCCUUACUUUACAAGUUUGUCAAACCAGGAAUAAAUGAUGUAGAACGAGUGAACCAAUUAAUUAUUCCAUCUGUAUAUACAAUUUCACAUGCUUCGUAAAUAUGAAUUUUGUAAGUGAAAUUAUAUUGCCACUCUAUAUCAGUCUUUCACUUUCAGUGGUCAGGCACAUUUUUUAUGCAUCCUGCUCAUAUCAUGUCAUGCUAAUAUGCUGUGUUCAGCAGAUACACAUAUUUGUCCCUUGUUUCUGCCGUGCUGCAGGAAAUUUUAAAUCUUCAUUAUGCGUGAUCGCAAGUGAUGAUAUAUUUCUUAGAAAUUAAAAUGUUGCUGGGCCCUACAUGGCAACAUCCUAAUACUUACUUAUGCAUACAAUGGGAAGUGUAUUGCUUCUGGUCUGUGAUGUCUUUAAUUUUAGCUCCAGGUUAUGCAAAGCUUAUUUUGUAUGUACCUAAAAGUUGUGUUUUGUAAAUGUUGAAGAUUUAUAAUUUCUGGAAUGCGCCCUAUUUUACACUAGCUUAUUUGCAAAUAAUGGUUUUGUGAUCUUUGGUAUUAAUUAGAGAGAAUGCUAAAGUAUAUAGAAGAGUGGUAUCUGUAAUCAUGGGAUGUUGUGGUUUAAGCUUGCUUGAAUCUUGUUCCAGCCGAUGUGCAUAUCCAUUGCCUCUUGUUUUGUUGAUUGCUUUGCCGUCUUUCAGCACCUCAGUAAGGCUUUGAUUUUUUUGGGAGAAUAGAAUCGGUGAAUUGAGUCGUUGUGGCUAUUCGGUUCAUAUUGCCCUAUUUUAUUCAUUUGUUCAUUUUUUUGAUCAUACAAAGUCGUUCUUCUGAAAACUGGCUUGAACUUAUACGUGGAAGCAUGCCUAUAUAUAAAUUCCGAAAGAUUAUUUUCAGAUUAUCACCUUUGAUCUCCCGCACUCCAAGCUUUUGCUUCUAUGGUAAGACAAUCCAUCACUUAGUUGCUCUGAUGAAAAGGGCAAGAUAGUUGUAUGCUUGCCAACUGUGCAAGGCCUUACUUUACAAGUUUUUCAAACCAGGAAUAAAUGAUGUAGAACGAGUGAACCAAUUAAUUAUUCCAUCUGUAUAUACAAUUUCACAUGCUUCGUAAAUAUGAAUUUUGUAAGUGAAAUUAUAUUGCCACUCUAUAUCAGUCUUUCACUUUCAGUGGUCAGGCACAUUUUUUAUGCAUCCUGCUCAUAUCAUGUCAUGCUAAUAUGCUGUGUUCAGCAGAUACACUGUAAUAUUUGUCCCUUGUUUCUUCCGUGCUGCAGGAAAUUUUAAAUCUUCAUUAUGCGUGAUCGCAAGUGAUGAUAUAUUUCUUAGAAAUUAAAAUGUUGCUGGGCCCUACAUGGCAACAUCCUAAUACUUACUUAUGCAUACAAUGGGAAGUGUAUUGCUUCUGGUCUGUGAUGUCUUUAAUUUUAGCUCCAGGUUAUGCAAAGCUUAUUUUGUAUGUACCUAAAAGUUGUGUUUUGUAAAUGUUGAAGAUUUAUAAUUUCUGGAAUGCGCCCUAUUUUACACUAGCUUAUUUGCAAAUAAUGGUUUCGUGAUCUUUGGUAUUAAUUAGAGAGAAUGCUAAAGUAUAUAGAAGAGAGGUAUCUGUAAUCAUGGGAUGUUGUGGUUUAAGCUUGCUUGAAUCUUGUUCCAGCCGAUGUGCAUAUCCAUUGCCUCUUGUUUUGUUGAUUGCUUUGCCGUCUUUCAGCACCUCAGAAAGGCUUUGAUUUUUUUGGGAGAAUAGAAUCGGUGAAUUGAGUCGUUGUGGCUAUUCGGUUCAUAUUGCCCUAUUUGAUUCAUUUGUUCAUAUUUUUUAAAAUAAUUUUAUUUCGGACCAGCCAUUUGACUAAAAUAGAUUGUUACUUUUUUAGAUAUGAUGCCAUUGGCCAGCAUGCAGUUCCAGUACCUUAUGGUUGUGGAAAAGUUAUAUAGAGAUCUAUCCAGAUAUGAUGCCACUGCAACUGCUCAUGUGCAAAAUUUACUCUGUUUCACAUUGCACUAUCAUCAUUGUCACUCCAUGGGGUACCACAGGAUUAGUGCUUUUGGUGGUCCAAUUUGGCAAGAACACGAAGAAGGCCGAGUUGGUGAUGGCCCCUUAUGAGAGUGGCACUGGUAACGGGAAGCUUCUAUGACGUCGAAGAGGCUGCUGAGCAACCCACAGUUCCCCUAGGAUGAUUUAUCUUGCAGAUGGACUUCCGUUAUUAAGUGAGGAUGGUGUCGCUGCAGGAUGACACAUGAUUAGCAAAUUUCUAUGAAUAUUACCACAUAUGACGACGAGCCCGUGAAUCAAUGGAGGAGGAGGCCAUGGAAGAGAGAAAGGAUGCGUGAAGAUGUUGUGUUUACCGACGGAGCGCUAGCUGUGGGCGACGACCGGGCUAGGCAAGUUCAUCUCAUCCCUCUCCUCUGAGUCUCUCUCUCCUGCGCGGUAGUGCAGACUCAUGGCGUGUGGUAGUAUCUGGUGGCGCGUGCGGCAACACUCACCCAGAUCGACUCGAUUCUUUUACCUUCGUAGCAGCAGUAAACAAGGCAUGCUAUUUUUAUAGAUUAGCUACUUUUUUUCUUGGUAUAAAUUUUUGAAGUGUUAGGGAGUUGCAGAUUCUGUGAUCGCGCAUUUGAUUUUUUGAGAGUCCAACACUCUGGUUCCUAAUUAAUAAUUAAUGCGUUUUCUAAACAUGGUGUGUGCCGGAUAUCGAGGUAGUCUGGGUGAGGCCGGUUCAGCCCUGACCCAUGACCUCCUUCAUGCUCCAGACCAAGUGGGACAUGCUAAAUUUCAGAUGCUUUGUUCACCAUUAUCAGAGGUCAGAAGCAGGCAUGGAGAUCUGCACCAUAGUGCAAGGGGAGAGGGGGAUUUUUCAUUUUAUUGUCAGUUAUCUAGGGUACGUAUGCAACCAUGGGAAUAUACCUAAUGCCAAGGGAACUUUUGUGGUUGCUGGAUAUGUCUAUUUACAUUAAAAUUCAUGUUUGGUGGCCGAUAUUGACAUCAGGUCUGAGAAAUAGAGGUGGAUGGGGAGCACGCGCUUUAAAUUUAUAUGUGUAACCUUAUUUUGAACGUUUUGGAUGCACAUGAAUGAUGUUGUAUUUCAUCUUGUACGGAGAAUUGGCUUGCUCUUCUUUUGGAUGCUCCUCUGCAAGCUUCUGAUAAUACUUUUGAACGUUUUUCAUUAUUGUAGCCUGGUGAGUAGCGCGAGGGCUGGCACGGGGAGCCAUUGGGGUCGCGCGCCCUCUGCCUCCUCGGCACCGGCGCGCCUGCCGCUAAGUGCCGGCCAUGGCGCCGAUCGCCGGAGCACAUCGUCGUCUCGUUGAUCGCCUGGCCUACCUCCCCGUGUAAGUUCUUCCUUUCCACUUUUUUUAAUUAUAAUUUACUAUUUUGCACAGCUGUGGAGGUGGAUCUGCCCAGCCUUGGAGGUGAGCAGAGAACACCAUAGCCAUCUCUAACUAAUUUUGUGUUGUUCCAUCCUCAUUUGGGAGGACGAUCCUGAUGAACAUGCUGAAGAAACACGCAUGCUCUCCAUCAGGAGAACACUUAUAGGUGUCGACUUGCUCCAGCAUGGAAAUGAGGUGAUCGAUAGCUCUGCCUAUUAAUGGAAGAGCACACGGAGGUGGGCUUGCAAUAUUUGAUCAAAUUGUGUCUAGCUAUUUUCAAUUCUGGACCAAAGGCCCUUCUGAAAAUCCAGUGGUUGGGAAGCGUGAUCCAUUUUCAAAGAACUUCAUCAUUAAUUAAAGUAGGAAAUCCAGGUGAUACUACAUUCAUAAUUCUGCCAUUUAUGCUGGCAAGGUAUGUUUCUCCUUCAUGUGCCCAUUAUGUAUGAUGCAUUUUUCAUUUCAUUGAUUCUCUUGUGUGUACCCCAAUACUCAUCAUAGAUUUGAUCAUGUGGCAAUAACAAGAAGGGGUUAUUGAAAUACCUAUUGCAAAGGAUGGACCUGAAGCUUGGGUCUUCAGGCUUGUGUUAGCUCAAUUUGCACAACGGACAGUGGAUAGAGAGGUGGUACCAGAGGUGGCAGGUACCAGGGAGUAGUGGUCCUGUAGGUUUUUGCGGCGGAUAUGAGUGUGGCUUGAUAGCCAUUGUAAUCACUCUGUCUCUCUCUCUAAGCUACCACGCUACCAUGUUUUAGUUCUGUCCAAUGUACUUAACCCUACUUUGCUACCAUUGCCUUCUUGAUGAAUCUGAUGACCAAGCAAUGUAUAAGCUAUAUCAUAUAAGCUUCUUCGAUCAACCUCAUGUACAAUAAA